rnacentral:lncRNA from 1 species
UUUCAUUAUCCAUCUAAGCCUUUUUGUUUACAUCCAUAUGAAAAACAGAAAAUAAGAAAGAAAAAGUUUUGCUUCCAAAUUACAAUAUGGCUUGGCCACAGAUGUUCCCAUUUUAACUGAAAUGGGCCUUUAACAAUUUUAAAAUUCUUGAUUUUAGCAGAGCUUAGAUAAGCUGUCAGUGAACAUGUAUGUCAAGUGAUAGGAGUCAAUCAAAUUCACAUAUUAUUUUUUGCAUUUCUCAAAUACCCAGCCAAAAUACAGUGUCUACUUCCAGUAGGAAACCAAACAGCUCAUCCCUCCUUAGGAAAAUGCAUAGCUUGACAUCCUGACAGUUAUGUUCAAUAUGAUGAAAUUCAUCACACAAGUUUGACAAAGAGGCACUACUUAAUGUGUUCUGAAUCUUUUUAAAGGAAUCAAGCAAAGCAGAGCAAGCAAGAUGAAGACAGACUGAUAAGCUACAGUUGGAAAGAAGAAAGAGAAGCAUGCACUCCACUCUAGCUCAACUAAAAUUUGCCUCAGUUCCAGUGGCUAUGUACCACCAACAUGCAGCAACUGAGAUCAAACUGCAGUCAGUGAACAUGACAAUGGAACUAAGCUGUGAAACUCUGAGCUGUGGAGGAAAGGCUGCUCUGACAAAAAAUCAGAGUCAAAAGCAAAUUUUCAAAUCCAUCUUGUGUGCUAUGGCAAUAUUAAACUGCAAUUUAUAAAUGAAGAUCAGAUUUAUUUCCACUUAAGCUGGCAAGACCAGUGAAGGUACUUUGGUUGCCAAUGCAGUCUGCGAUGGCUAGCAAGUAAGCCAAAACCGACAAGAGAAGAUUAUCCUUAGUUAUGUAAGUAAGAAACCAUUUGUAUUUAAUAAUGAGCUAUUACUACUGAUUAGCCACUUCAAUACAAUAGAUAAAUAAGGUAUUCAAAUAGCAGUUGAUACUACUAUUUUGAUAAACAAACAUUUGUGUUCUUUUGAAAACUACAAGUCUGACUGGGGCUCCACUGGAAGUGAUGGCACUUCACUAGGCUUUGAACUGGGGGCCUACACAGCAACCACAUUCAUCAAGUGCUUUAAAAAUAUAAUGAAAAACAACACUGCAAGUUGUACAACAUUGCAAGUUGUACAAUUUAACCAGCUAUCUUUGAGUGGCUUGAUUUUAUUUUAUUUUAUUUUAUUUAAGUAAACAAAUAAAUAAAUAAUAAGCCAUUGAUAACUACUCA